rnacentral:rRNA from 1 species
GACGAACGCUGGCGGCGUGCCUAAUACAUGCAAGUAGAACGCUGAAGGAGGAGCUUGCUUCUCUGGAUGAGUUGCGAACGGGUGAGUAACGCGUAGGUAACCUGCCUGGUAGCGGGGGAUAACUAUUGGAAACGAUAGCUAAUACCGCAUAACAGUAGAUAUCGCAUGAUAUCUACUUGAAAGUUGCAAUUGCAUCACUACCAGAUGGCCCUGCGUUGUAUUAGCUAGUUGGUGAGGUAACGGCUCACCAAGGCGACGAUACAUAGCCGACCUGAGAGGGUGGUCGGCCACACUGGGACGGAGACACGGCCCAGACUCCUACGGGAGGCAGCAGUAGGGAAUCUUCGGCAAUGGACGGAAGUCUGACCGAGCAACGCCGCGUGAGUGAAGAAGGUUUUCGGAUCGUAAAGAUCUGUUGUAAGAGAAGAACGAGUGUGAGAGUGGAAAGUUCACACUGUGACGGUAGCUUACCAGAAAGGGACGGCUAACUACGUG